UAUAAACAUAUAGAACGAUCACUACUUUCCGAAACGAUGUAUUGAUUCAAAGGAUCCCAACAUACCCCUUGAACGUAAUGUGAAUGGUCGAAUUUUUGAGUAAGCAGUUGCCCUUCUUAGUCAGUAAUUUUAAUUUAAAAAAAAAUAUUGCCAAUAACAACAACUGCCAAUUCAUACCUGUGUGAGCAUCGUACAACCGAAGACUAUUAUCCAUGGCGCCGGCAAUAAGAAAAUUACUGUCAACCGACCAGCAUAAAUCAUAUAUUUCUGAACCCAUCGACCUACAAACUAUUUUGACCUUCCAAUAUUCUUUAGCUAGAGCCAACUCUUCCGCAUCAUCAGCCAAAGUUGUUAUAGGAGUGUUAGUUGGAACCCAUAACAUAAUAGUUCCUUCAUCUCCGGCGGUAGCAAGAAUAUUUCCUAUUUUAAUGUGAGCAUUGGAAAAAAUUAUUAGCGAAUACCUUCUGGAUUGAAACGAACGACGUUCACUGCUUGCGUGUGUCGACUUAACGUAGACAAAUAUUCGACUUUUGUGGAUGAUUCCGAAGUGAUCAAUUGCCAUAUCUGGAUAUUAGUAUAAUUGAAGGAAUUUUCUUUCUUUUUUUUAAACUACAACAAACAAUAGUUGAAGCAAAAAUAGUUUUAUGUCAAAUCAUUACCCUGAUUUUACUGUCUCCUCCACAUGUAGCAAAUUUAUUAAGACUGUUCUUUUGAAAAUCAACUGAAUAAAUAGGUGUGUGAUCAUCAUUAGCAUCAUAAUGCCAUCGUAUCUGCAAAACCUCCGCUCUCAUGUUCCUCUUCGUCGUUAGUGCUCUAGGAUCGCUUCGCACAAUUUUUCUAAUAGUAAUUUCGUGAGUACGGAACUAACGUGUAUAUUAUUUAGAGUUCAAAGAGAAUUUUUUAUGAACUCUCUAAUAUUGUUGUUAUUUCUAUUAUUUGUCAAUUUGCUUUGGGUUCAAUGUUCAAGCAGCAUUAGUAGUUGGAGGAAAAAUUUUGAAUUAUAUGCUGAGUGCCCGUUAUACUCUAUUUUUUUUUAUCUAUUUAAAGCCCUUUAGUUUGCACAAUAGUCUUCUUAUUAGCCGUGCGAUUACUAUGUUUAGUGUUAGGUAAGUUUAUAAGGUUCGAUUUCUUAUAAAUAUUAUGGACUUUCACAGUUGAAAUUGCAUCCUUUCCCCUUGGUUUAAAAACAGAGUAUUUCAUAUAAUAGAGUACAAAAUUUGAG